GUAACAGAGGGAAACUUCUGAUAAUACUGAUAAGUUAGUAUAUCGCAUGAUAUGCAAAUAGAAAGCUACGGCACUAAAGGAGAGCUUUGCGUCCUAUUAGCUAGUUGGUAAGGUAAGAGCUUACCAAGGCGAUGAUAGGUAGCCGGCCUGAGAGGGUGGACGGCCACAAGGGGGACUGAGAUACGGCCCUUACUCCUACGGGAGGCAGCAGCC
rnacentral:rRNA from 1 species